AUACGUAGGUCCCGAACGUUGCGCGAAAUUACUGGGCGUAAAGGGUCCGUAGGCGGUCUGGUAAGUGGAAGGUGAAAGCCUGGGGCUCAACUCCAGAAUUGCCUUCCAAACUGCCGGACUUGAGGCAGGGAGAGGUCGGUGGAAUUCCCGGUGUAGUGGUGAAAUGCGUAGAUAUCGGGAGGAACACCAGUGGCGAAGGCGGCCGACUGGAACUGUCCUGACGCUGAGGGACGAAAGCCAGGGGAGCGAACCGGAUUAGAAACCCUAGUAGUCC
rnacentral:rRNA from 1 species